rnacentral:piRNA from 1 species
UAAUCAGCCACAUAUUUCAACAUAUCCGGG